GAUGAAGAACGCAUCGAAACGCGAUAAGUAAUGUGAAUUGCAGAAUUUAGUGAAUCAUCGAACUUUUGAACGCACAUUGCGCCCGGCGGCACUCCGCCGGGCAUGCCUGUCCGAGCGUCAUUGCUGCCCUCAAGCACGGCUUGUGUGUUGGGCCUCCGUCCUCCUCCCGGGGGACGGGCCCGAAAGGCAGCGGCGGCACCGCGUCCGGUCCUCGAGCGUAUGGGGCUUCGUCACCCGCUCUUGUAGGCCCGGCCGGCGCUUGCCGACACAUCAAUCUUUUUUCCAGGUUGACCUCGGAUCAGGUAGGGAUACCCGCUGAACUUAAGCAUAUCAAUAAGCGGAGGA
rnacentral:misc_RNA from 1 species